GCCGCCGCCACACCCCAGCCCCCUCGCCGUCGCGGCCGCACCUCAGCCUGCUCGCCGCCCCCGUCGCCGCCUCCGCGGUCGCACCUCAGCCCGCUCGCCGCCCCCGUCGCAACCCAACCCUUCCUCCCCUCCAAUGGAUGCCGCCCCAACCACCUCAUCCAAUAGGAAGCCCCAGUUCGGCAGCCUCUGUUCCCGCCCUUCAGCGGCCACCUCGCCACCCCUCCAACGCCCAUCACGUCCUUAUCCAACGCCGCCCUUCAGCGCCCACCCAUCCGCCUGCCCGCCCGACAACGCCCGAUUGAAUUGUUGCUGCCAAGAUCUGCCUCAAUGUGGUUUACAUCAUUGCGGCGACGACAUCGUCGAUCUUCGACUCCGGCGGCUACAUCCAGAAGGACUACCACAAUUCUCGCGGCUGGGAUCCUCUACUCUCAUCUCCCUACUAUGAAUCCUGACUGAUUCUCUUCCUCCUCCCUGUGUCUUCCUCUCUGAAUUUGGUAGUAGGUAUUAGUUCGUUGCAAGUAGUUAAUCAGCCAGUGGUGAAUCUAGGAUAAGAAUGGAGGGUGCGCUGAAAUCAUUAGUCAUUGUGCUAAACUGGUACGAGUAUGAUUUAUAGUCUGAAUUAUUGCAUGGCAAAACAGUACCAUGUUCUCUGAAUAUUUUUAUUCCUCUGAAGUUGUGUGUGCUACAAUCCUAUCGCAUUGGCAUGUAUAUUCUGCAUCUCUUGAAGAUAUUUGUGACAUGUUGGCUGCCUUUUUCCCCUUCUUUGCGGUUAAACGUUUCAGUCUUUAAUCCCCUGGUUUUAGGCUAUAAUCCCCCGAUUAGUACUGAUAUAUGGAGUACUUAUACGGAGUUGGGGCCGGGCACUAGAUCUUGCACUCUGAAAUUAAUAAUACAUCUUCUGCAAUACUGAUAGUACUAUGAGAUUCUUAGUACUCUGCUUAGUAUUGAUAUAUGCAGCAGUGAUGCAAAAUUGGGGGCCCCAGAUCUUGUACUCUGAUUAGUACUGAAUUUUUAAAAGUUCAUAUACUCUGAAAUUCAUCGUACAUGACGUAAAGUGCUCAAGGUGCUUGUGCGUACACUCUGCAAACACUGAACAUACAAAGUGCACAAGGCUGAUAUAUUUCCCUCCAUUUCUGUAUGAAUAAAUCCUAGAUCGUUACAAAUAACAUGCCAACCUUCUUUUCACUUCAUGCCACUGUAAGGUUGGUUUGGUGCUGAUGCUCCUUACGUCCAUGUCAUUGUAGAUGGCUGUGGAAAUCUGGAAAAUUUGCCUUUUCUAUCAAGAUGAGAAUCAACAACAUAAAGUUCUAGAAGGAUUCAUGGACAGAAAAGAUAUCUCCUUUUAUGAGUUAAUCAAAUUGAUUGAAGAAGUUGGCUUCUCGCCGGCAUAUGGUUUCUUGUACUACAGGAAGAAAUACCCGCGUGGUAGAUGCUAUUCUGACAUUGCUUCUGACCAUGAAAUACUUUGUGUUCAGUCUUUCCCUGAAAGUUAGCAUAGGAAUACACAAUGUUUCUUCAGAAUGACAGAGCACCAAAUCGAGGCAGCAGGUUGCCAUCGAAUUCCACAGAAUAAAACUGACUUGUGGAUGUGAUUAAUCACUUACCAAAGUACAAGUUCAUUCUCUGAUGAAAAAGGUCAGUGUUUGGGGCGCACUGCGUAGCAAGGAUAUGUUGUAGGCUAUAUAGCUCUUCUGUGGACUGUGAGAGGUUGGGGUUCUCAUGCUUGCUUGGUCGGAACCUUUUCUUUUGAGUCGAUUGAUGGACGAUGGGCAUGAGGGCAUCUCUGCACUAACUACGCUGUAUGUGUACUCCACUACAUACAGAUAGCUCGCUCGUCGUAUCUCGACAGAAGAAGAACAACUUUGAUCGAUGGAGAUGGAUUUCUUUCCUGUUGUUGCAAUUGUAUGUGCCUUGCCGACUAAACUAUCUUCUUUCUUAUUUACUAUCAGGUAGCUCUUUCAAAGAUAGCUCGCUCGUCGUAUCUCGACAGAAGAAGAACAACUUUGAUCGAUGGAGAUGGAUUUCUUUCCUGUUGGUGUGAUUCAGGGAAGCUAUUUGUGGUGUAAUAUGCAGCUAAAGGUAUUCCAGCAUGAGCUUCCAUGCACAACAUCAGUGCUUAAAGUAAAGGCUUCAGAUAACUUGAUUCUCUGCUCACAACUAACUACAGCAAGAAAUAAUUUCACAGCCACAGAUCGCGUCCAAGCAUAGCCAGCCUUGGUCCAAGGCGAUAGAGAAGUACUGACAAGGUGGCUCGUUCGCAAGUUGGAGCCGUCCAUGAGCUCACUGCUCUUGGUCGCUCACAGCAAAGAACUGCAUGUUGGCUGGGAUCUUGCCCAUGUAAUAUCUUCAGUACUGUAAUGGCAGAUUGUACUUAUUUUUUUGUAAUUUUUUUGGUGUUUAGGCCAUGCCUAUUGGGCCAAGAGGUAGACCCCGUAUAAUGCCGACCCGCUAAAUGCAUUUACAGUUUGCAGAAAUAUGGCUUUUCGGGCCGGCGCGGGGGCUGAAUAUCAUUUUUUACAGGUCCGCUUUGCGCU